rnacentral:rRNA from 1 species
UACGUAGGGGGCAAGCGUUAUCCGGAAUUAUUGGGUUUAAAGGGUGCGUAGGCGGAUUGAUAAGUUAGAGGUGAAAUGUCCGAGCUCAACUCGGGAACUGCCUCUAAUACUGUUGAUCUAGAGAGUAGAUGCGGUAGGCGGAAUGUAUGGUGUAGCGGUGAAAUGCUUAGAGAUCAUACAGAACACCGAUUGCGAAGGCAGCUUACCAAUCUAUAUCUGACGUUGAGGCACGAAAGCGUGGGGAGCAAACAGG